UAAAGCUACAAAGAGCUAAUGGAGAAUGCCUUGGUACUGACAGCCGAAGAAGGACGCGUAAAGCGGCGAUACUCUAGGGGGAGUUGCUAAAAUGCCUUGAUCCCUAGGAAUCCGAAUGGGGAAACCCUAUAAGGUUAAAACCUUAUAACCCUUGAAUGAAUCAAUAGUUCAAGAGGAGGAAAGUCUGUGAACUGAAACAUCUUAGUAACAGAACGAAAAGAAAAUAAACCAAUGAUUCCGAAAGUAGCGGCGAGCGAAAUUGGAAAAGCCUAAACCUUGUGUACGUGAUAGACUGCAUUCGUUGUGCACAGGGGGUUGUGGGACUUUCAGAAUAUGUAGCAGCAUAUUCAAAGAGUUACAAAAUUAUUUAAUAGUUGAAUUCAACUGGAAAGUUGAGCCAUAGACGGUGAUAGCCCAGUAAACGAAAUUAAAUAGUCUCUUGAAAGUAUCCCGAGUACGGCGGGGCACGUGAAACCCUGUCUGAAUCCUCCACGACCAUGUGGAAAGGCUAAAUACUAGUCAGUGACCGAUAGUGAACGAGUACAGUGAUGGAAAGGCGAAAAGAACAGUGAGAAGCUGAGUGAAAUAGAUCCUGAAACCGUUAGCUUACAACCAGUCAGAGCACUAUCAAUAGUGUGAUGGCGUGCCUGUUGAAGAAUGAGCCGGCGAGUUAUCUUAUGUUGCAAGGUUAAGAAGUUGACAUUCGGAGCCACAGCGAAAGCGAGUUUGAAUAGAGCGUUAAGUAACAUGAGAUAGACCCGAACCCUGGUGAUCUAACCAUGUCCAGGAUGAAGCGUAGGUAACACUACGUGGAGGUCCGAACCAACCGAUGUUGAAAAAUCGGUGGAUGAGGUGUGGUUAGGGGUGAAAUGCCAAUCGAACUAGGAGCUAGCUGGUUCUCCCCGAAAUGCGUUUAGGCACAGCGUUAGAUUUAUCUUACAGGAGGUAGAGCACUGGUUUUGUGCGGGCGGCGAAAUGUUGUACCAAACAAUGUCAAACUCCGAAUGCCUGUAAUGUUACUAUCUAGCAGUGAGACUACGAGUGCUAAGAUCCGUGGUCAAGAGGAAAACAGUCCAGAACGUCAGUUAAGGUCCCUAAUAUAUGCUAAGUGGUUAAGGAGGUAGAGUUGCUGCGACAACCAGGAGGUUGGCUUAGAAGCAGCCAUUCCUUGAAAGAGUGCGUAAUAGCUCACUGGUCAAGCGACUCCGCGCCGAAAAUACACCGGGACUCAAGCAUAUAACCGAAACUACGUGAUUAAAGUUUACUUUAAUCGGUAGGGGAGCGUUCUGUUGUAGGUUGAAGUCAGAUCGUAAGGACUGAUGGACGAAGCAGAAGUGAGAAUGUCGGCAUAAGUAGCGAAAACAUUGGUGAGAAUCCAAUGCACCGUAAACCUAAGGUUUCCCCUGGCAGGCUCGUCCGCGGGGGGUUAGUCGGAACCUAAGACGAGGCCCAAAGGCGUAGUCGAUGGACAUCAGGUUGAUAUUCCUGAACUAUCUGGUAAUCGUUAUCAGAUGCGGAGGGACGCAGGAGGAUAGGCAAGCAGCAGAUCGGUAGUUGCUGUUUAAGCGUGUAGGUAGAAGUAGUAGGAAAAUCCGCUAUUUCGUUAUAAACUGAGGCGUGAUGAGGAGAGUCUACGGACUCGAAGUUGUUGAAUCCACACUGCCAAGAAAAUCUUCGCAAUCGAGAUUAUCCGGUAUCCGUACCGUAAACCGCCACAGGUAGGUUGGUAGAAAAUACUAAGGUGCGCGAGACAACUCUCGCUAAGGAACUCUGCAAAAUCACCUCGUAACUUCGGGAGAAGAGGUACCCUGCUAGCGUGUAAGCACUUGCUGCUGAAGCGUGAUAGGGUCGCAGUGAAUAGGCCCAAGCGACUGUUUACCAAAAACACAGGUCUCUGCUAAGUCGAUUAAGACGAUGUAUAGGGGCUGACGCCUGCCCGGUGUCGGAAGGUUACGCGGAAGAGUUAGAACUUCGGUUCGAAGCCCUGAAGCUAAGCCCCGAUGAACGGCGGCCGUAACUAUAACGGUCCUAAGGUAGCGAAAUUCCUUGUCAGGUAAGUUCUGACCCGCACGAAUGGCGU
rnacentral:rRNA from 1 species